UGGGGAAUUUUGGACAAUGGGCGCAAGCCUGAUCCAGCCAUGCCGCGUGCGGGAAGAAGGCCUUCGGGUUGUAAACCGCUUUUGUCAGGAAGAAACGAGUUUCUCUAAUACAGAGACUUAAUGACGGUACCUGAAGAAUAAGCACCGGCUAACUACGAGCCAGCAGCCGCGGUAAUACGUAGGGUGCAAGCGUUAAUCGGAAUUACUGGGCGUAAAGCGUGCGCAGGCGGUUAUGCAAGACAGAUGUGAAAUCCCCGGGCUCAACCUGGGAACUGCAUUUGUGACUGCAUAGCUGGAGUGCGGCAGAGGGGGAUGGAAUUCUGCGUGUAGCAGUGAAAUGCGUAGAUAUGCGGAGGAACACCGAUGGCGAAGGCAAUCCCCUGGGCCUGCGCUGACGCUCAUGCACGAAAGCGUGGGGAGCAAACA
rnacentral:rRNA from 1 species